AGUAACGCGUGGGUAACCUGCCCUGUACAGGGGGAUAACAGUCAGAAAUGACUGCUAAUACCGCAUAAGACCACAGCACCGCAUGGUGCAGGGGUAAAAACUCCGGUGGUACAGGAUGGACCCGCGUCUGAUUAGCUGGUUGGUGAGGUAACAGCUCACCAAGGCGACGAUCAGUAGCCGGCUUGAGAGAGUGAACGGCCACAUUGGGACUGAGACACGGCCCAAACUCCUACGGGAGGCAGCAUG
rnacentral:rRNA from 1 species